UACAGAGGGUGCGAGCGUUAAUCGGAAUUACUGGGCGUAAAGCGCGCGUAGGCGGCUUUUCAAGUCGAUUGUGAAAUCCCCGGGCUUAACCUGGGAACUGCAGUCGAGACUGUCUAGCUAGAGUAUGGGAGAGGGAAGUGGAAUUUCAGGCGUAGCGGUGAAAUGCGUAGAUAUCUGAAGGAACAUCAGUGGCGAAAGCGACUUCCUGGACCAAUACUGACGCUCAUGUGCGAAAGCGUGGGGAGCAAACAGG
rnacentral:rRNA from 1 species